rnacentral:tRNA from 1 species
AGGUGAGUAGCUCAACUGGCCAGAGCAGCGGUCUCCAAAACCGCAGGUUGGGGGUUCGAGUCCCUCCUCACCUGCCA